CACCGCGGUUAGACGAGAGGCCCUAGUUGACAUAAUAUUCGGCGUAAAGAGUGGUUAAGGCUAAAAAAUAAUAAAGCCGAAUGGCCCCUUGGCCGUCAUACGCUUCUAGGCGUCCGAAGCCCUAUUAUACGAAAGUAGCUUUAAUUAAUAUUGCCCGACUCCACGAAAGCUAAGAAA
rnacentral:rRNA from 1 species